GACGAACGCUGGCGGCGCGCCUAACACAUGCAAGUCGCACGGUGAACGGGGCUUCGGCCCCCGGAUCAGUGGCGAACGGGUGCGUAACACGUGGGCAACCUGCCCCUCACUCUGGGAUAACCCCGGGAAACCGGAGCUAAUACCGGAUACUCCGGCCGAACCGCAUGGUUCGGCCGGGAAAGGUCCGCCGGUGAGGGAUGGGCCCGCGGCCUAUCAGCUCGUUGGUGGGGUAACGGCCCACCAAGGCGACGACGGGUAGCUGGUCGGAGAGGACGACCAGCCACACUGGGACUGAGAUACGGCCCAGACUCCUACGGGAGGCAGCAGUGGGGGAUCUUGCUCAAGGGGCGAAAGCCUGACGCAGCGACGCCGCGUGAGGGACGAAGGCCCUCGGGUUGUAAACCUCUUUCGGCAGGGACGAAGCGAUCGUGACGGUACCUGCAGAAGAAGCCCCGGCUAACUACGUGCCAGCAGCCGCAGUAAAAC
rnacentral:rRNA from 1 species